rnacentral:rRNA from 1 species
CGCAGCCGCGGUAAUUCCAGCUCCAAUAGCGUAUAUUAAAGUUGUUGCAGUUAAAAAGCUCGUAGUUGAAUUUCGGGAUCAAUAUGUCGGUCGUGCUUUUUGGUAUGUACUGGCGUUAUUGGUUUCUCCCUUCUGACGAACCAUGAUGUCAUUAAUUUGGUGUUAUGAGGAAUUAGGACUGUUACUUUGAAAAAAUUAGAGUGUUUAAAGCAGGCAUUAGCUUGAAUACAUUAGCAUGGAAUAAUGAAAUAGGACGUUCGAACCUAUUUUGUUGGUUUCUAGGAUCAACGUAAUGAUUAAUAGGGAUAGUUGGGGGCAUUAGUAUUCAAUUGUCAGAGGUGAAAUUCUUGGAUUUAUUGAAGACUAACUACUGCGAAAGCAUUUGCCAAGGAUGUUUUCAUUAAUCAAGAACGAAAGUUAGGGGAUCGAAGACGAUCAGAUACCGUCGUAGUCUUAACCAUAAACUAUGCCGACUAGGGAUCGGAUGAUGUUAAUUUUUAAUGACUCAUUCGGCGCCUUA